rnacentral:rRNA from 1 species
GACGAACGCUGGCGGCGUGCUUAACACAUGCAAGUCGAACGGAAAGGCCCUGCUUUUGUGGGGUUCUCGAGUGGCGAACGGGUGUGUAACACGUGAGUAUCCUCCCCUUGACUUUGGGAUAACUUCAGGUAACUUGGUCUAAUACCGUAUAUGAGCUCCUGCUGCUUUGUGGUGGUUGGUAAGUUUCGGCGUUUGGGGAUGGACUCGCGGCUUAUCAGCUUGUUGGUUGGGUAGUGGCUUACCAAGGCUUUGACGGGUAGCCGUCAUGUGAGGGUGACCGGGGACAAUGGGACUGAGAAACGGAGCAGAAUGCUACGGGAGGCAGCAGGGGGGAAUAUAGCAGAAUGGGAGGAAGCAUGAGGAAGAAAAGCGGCGUGGGGGAUGACGGGCAGGGGGUUGUAAAAAGAAUUAGAAUGUGACGAAGCGAGAGUGACGGUAAUGGGUAAAGAAGCAACGGCUAACUACGUG